rnacentral:tRNA from 1 species
CCAAGCGUGGCGUAGGGGCAUUUUGAUUUUGCCAAGGUUGGGGUCGAGGGUUCGAAUCCCUUCGCCCGCUCCA